AAUAAGAAUACUCCUCUCUCUACUUCUCUCUAUAUUGUUCUUGUAUUAUUGUUCUUGUUCUUAUAUUAUUUCAUAACAACUAUACUAUUAUAAAUUUCAAUGCAGAAAAGAAAAUUUGGAGUUUAUGUUAAAGUUUAAAGAAGCAAACCUAUAGUUACAGUAAAGCCAUAGGCCUUAAACCCAGAUCCAAGCUGCCUGGGUCCAAAUUUGCUCAGAUAAUUCCCAGAUUAGGCCUAGUUACAAGUCUGGCCCAUUUCAUAUAGCCUUCAUUCGGGCCAUUCUGAUAAAAGAGGGCCAUUGAGUCAGUUUUUAACCAAAGCAAUCAAUUGAAAAGAGAAAUAUUACAAUAUACUUUAUACCAAUUCUAUACAGAAAAUCAGUUCAUUGGCAACAGUCCCUGGGUUAAAACACAUUCAGAUGUGUGACUACUUGUUUCUUUAAUAAAAUAAAAUAAAAAUUGUUAUCUCCAUUGUACACUUAUAUGAUUUUGGGCUCUUUCACUUCCCACCGGCUUUCAAAAAGGGCCUUUGAAUUUCAAGGACAACCAUAGAGCUUCUCUACAAAUCAACAUCUUUUAGUCCGAACCAAUAGAUCUCAAAUUUUUCUCUUUCUUGUUAUAACUUCCACAUACAAAUAAAAAAAAUAAGCAAUUUUUUGUGAAAAGUAGUUUAUUAGCAUCACAUAUUCGAAAGAAUAAAGAGUAGACAGUAGGCAACACCAAUCUGAAGGAAUCAUAUUUUCCAUAAUUCAUGAUGCAAAGCUAGGUAUAACUCGAAUAGAAAUAGCAAAGACCAUAACGUAGGACAAACCUUGAAAGCUAAACAUGAUGGCAUACAAAUCAACCCAUAUAGCCUUCUAAAAAUAUUCAAUAACUAAAGAGACAAAACUUUAUAACAUUAUGGACAAACAUAAACACAUGGGGGACAUUGAUCAACUCAGAAACACAAGAUAUAGCUUUCAGAGAUAGUUUCAAAGAGGAAAAACUUUAUAAAAGACAUAAUUCAACAAAACACCAAUUCACAUUUCUUAAUAACAACAUUCUAUGAAGAAGGUGAAGUUCAGUACCUUGCACAACAGCAACAAAAACAACAACUAAAAUGUGCAAAAAACUUGCUGAAACCUUAAACAAAAAUGGAGCAGCAAUAGGACAUGAGUAACAGCAGCCACAAAUAUCAAAAUUUCAGACCCAAGACCAGCCACUUGAACCCAGAAAUAACCAACUAACUAAACCACGAAAAAUCUCUAUUUUUCAAACCAUUUUCAACUGGAGAACCAAAGGAGAAAAAGUCUUUUUUUAAAAUCUUUUUGAGGUUUUCUAAAGUCUGAAAAGGACAUUUUUUGAAGAAAAAUAAUGUUUAUGAGUGCUGAUGAUUGCUCAAGAAUUUUUAAUUGUGUGAGGGAAGGUUUUCUUUUAUAUAGUGUACAAAAAAAAUAUCCAAAAGGAAUAUUCUGGCCUAGUACAUCAUAUUUUUAUAGUUGUACUAUCCUUUUUCCUUAUCCAAAACCAAUAUUUUUCAAGGAUAAGGAUAGUUGUGUUGUGUUCUACAACUUUCCUAAUUCUAUCCAAUGUGUAACCCUAAUUUUACCCUUUGAAAUCCUGCCUAUUUUAUUUUUACCUCAAAGAAGUCCCUAAAGUUUCUAUUGGCUUUCGAUAUAAUUCAAACACAAUUAGAAUAAGUUGAAAGAUGCAAAAUGCUAACAGAAUGAUAGUUAAAUAGAGCUAAUGCAAUGCUACACUAAACUCAAACUAAUUAUUGAUAACAAUGUUGUUCUAUCUAUCUAACUAUGAUACUUUAAUCAACUAAACUGAAAUAUGGCAUCUCUAUUUAUUCAAGCUAAACCAAGGUGGUGAAGUCAAUAAUGCUAAAAAUCAAUCAGCUAACUGACGUUUCUAAGGUAAAAAUCCAUAAAGUUCAGAAGUAAACUCAGCCUGUCAAUUUCAAAUACUAAAAAUACACAUUUGGCUAAUCACAAUAUUUUUAAGAACUAGUUUAAAAGUCUGAAAUUCUACAUUAGUCAAAUUAAUUGACAAUUAACUACAAGUUAAAACUAAUUGACAGAAGAAAAUAGAAGAAGAAAAGAAAUUAAAACAAAUAAAAGAAAACAUAAUUGCUGGCUACAUGAAAGAGAAAACAAAUAUGAGGCAGACAUUAAGAAUAAAGAAAAAAAAUAGAAAAAGAAAAAAGAGAAAAAGAAAAUACCUGAGGCAGCCGGUUAAUGGAACUUCUUGCAAGCACACUCAUGAACUUUAUACGGCUAUUAACUGGAUGUUCUUAAUACGAACAACCAACUAAUGGUCGUCUUGGGUUCAUAAACUUCAUGCACUGACAAAGAAAGAACUAGGGUUUUUUUUCCUUCUAAAUCAUAGAUUGCAAAUUUAAGGAAAUUUAGGUUGAUUCAAAAGGGAAUGUGGGCAUAUUCGGGGAGAGAAGGCGAAGGUGAUUAUAUGCUGUAGUUUCUGGUGAAUUUGUGGAGAUUAGGUUCUUUGCCAAAUUUUUUAUUUAAGAUUCGAAAAUAUUGGCAAUGACUCAAGGAAAAUAGUUGAAGAUUUGAGGAGGCUAUGGGGAUUUUGUGGUGAAAAUUUGGUCGAUUUUCUCUGGGUGGUUGAUGGCGGGUGGUUGACGGCAGAGGCAGCGGGGAAAUUAGGGCGGCUAGGGUUCGCUAGAUUAGAGACGAGGGAGAUUAAGAAUGAGGAGUAGACUUAAGGUUUUG
rnacentral:lncRNA from 1 species